UGGGGAAUUUUGCACAAUGGGGGAAACCCUGAUGCAGCGACGCCGCGUGAUUUAGAAGGCCUUCGGGUUGUAAAAAUCUUUUGUAUGGGAAGAAAAUGACAGUACCAUACGAAUAAGGACCGGCUAAUUACGUGCCAGCAGCCGCGGUAAUACGUAAGGUCCGAGCGUUGUCCGGAAUCAUUGGGCUUAAAGGGUACGUAGGCGGAUAAGCAAGUUAGAAGUGAAAUCCUAUAGCUCAACUAUAGUAAGCUUUUAAAACUGCUCAUCUUGAGGUAUGGAAGGGAAAGUGGAAUUCCUAGUGUAGCGGUGAAAUGCGCAGAUAUUAGGAGGAAUACCGGUGGCGAAGGCGACUUUCUGGCCAUAUACUGACGCUGAGGUACGAAAGCGUGGGUAGCAAACAGG
rnacentral:rRNA from 1 species